UAGAAAUAUAAAAUCAAAUACUAUAAGCUUGUUGUAAACCUGAACAACAGACCAAGGCUCAUUAGUGGAAAAAAAAAAUUCCAUUAGGGUGAGUUCAUUACUUGCACAAGGUAUAAAAAGGACCAACGAUUCUGCCUCCACACUAGUAGGGAUUACAAGCUCUACCAUGAUACUUUGGCUAAUAAAUGGUGGAGGUGCCCCAACUGGC
rnacentral:lncRNA from 1 species